CGGGGGGUGCGAGCGUUGUCCGGAAUCACUGGGCGUAAAGGGCGCGUAGGUGGCUUGGCAAGCGCGUGGUGAAAGCCCGGGGCUCAACCCCGGGUCUGCCGUGCGAACUGCUAUGGCUUGAGCACUGUAGAGGCAGGUAGAAUUCCGGGUGUAGCGGUGGAAUGCGUAGAGAUCCGGAAGAAUACCGGUGGCGAAGGCGGCCUGCUGGGCAGUGGCUGACACUGAGGCGCGACAGCGUGGGGAGCAAACAGGAUUAGAUACCCUGGUAGUCCACGCCGUAAACGAUGGGCACUAGGUGCUUGGGGGAGCGACCCUCUGAGUGCCGUCGCUAACGCAGUAAGUGCCCCGCCUGGGGAGUACGGCCGCAAGGCUG
rnacentral:rRNA from 1 species